GUGGGGAAUCUUGCACAAUGGGGGAAACCCUGAUGCAGCGACGCCGCGUGAGCGAUGAAGCCCUUCGGGGUGUAAAGCUCUUUCGGCAGGAAAGAUGAUGACGGUACCUGCGGAAGAAGCUGCGGCUAACUACGUGCCAGCAGCCGCGGUAAUACGUAGGCAGCGAGCGUUGUUCGGAGUUACUGGGCGUAAAGAGUGUGUAGGCGGUCCGGCAAGUUCGGUGUGAAAUCUCCCGGCUCAACUGGGAGGGUGCGCCGAAAACUGCCGGGCUCGAGUGUGGGAGAGGAAAGCGGAAUUCCUGGUGUAGCGGUGAAAUGCGUAGAUAUCAGGAGGAACACCUGCGGUGUAGACGGCUUUCUGGACCACCACUGACGCUGAGACACGAAAGCGUGGGUAGCAAACAGGAUUAGAAACCCUGGUAGUCC
rnacentral:rRNA from 1 species